GAGAAGCUUGCUUCUUGGGUGGCGAGUGGCGAACGGGUGAGUAAUAUAUCGGAACGUACCGAGUAAUGGGGGAUAACUAAUCGAAAGAUUAGCUAAUACCGCAUAUUCUCUGAGGAGGAAAGCAGGGGACCUUCGGGCCUUGCGUUAUUCGAGCGGCCGAUAUCUGAUUAGCUAGUUGGUGGGGUAAAGGCCUACCAAGGCGACGAUCAGUAGCGGGUCUGAGAGGAUGAUCCGCCACACUGGGACUGAGACACGGCCCAGACUCCUACGGGAGGCAGCAGUGGGGAAUUUUGGACAAUGGGCGCAAGCCUGAUCCAGCCAUGCCGCGUGUCUGAAGAAGGCCUUCGGGUUGUAAAGGACUUUUGUCAGGGAAGAAAAGGCUGUUGCUAAUACCGACAGCUGAUGACUUCUCCUGAAGAAUAAGC
rnacentral:rRNA from 1 species